rnacentral:rRNA from 1 species
ACGCGAGCUGGGUUCAGAUCGUUGUUGGACCGUUCGGUCCCUAUCCGUCGCAGGCGCUGGAAAUUUGAGUAGGCCUGUCCUUAGUACGAGAUGACCGGGAUGUACGUACCUCUGGUGUACCAGUUGUCCUGCCAAGGGCAUGGCUGGGUAGCUAUGUACGGAAUGGAUAAGCGCUGAAAGCAUCUAAGCGCGAAGCCAACUUCAAGAUAAGAUUUCCCACCGCAAGGGUAAGACCCCAGAAAGACUAUCUGGUUG